rnacentral:tRNA from 1 species
GGGAGUGUCGCCAAGUCUGGUUAAGGCCCACGUCUGAUACGCGUGUAUGCACAGGUUCAAAUCCUGUUUCUCCCACCA